GGCAAUGUAACUCACAGUGGCAGUUAGGAGUGAGCAAAAUCCGAUUCGAUUCGAAAAACUCGAUAAAAAAUUCAAAUUUUGAAUUAAAUAGUUUGAGUUAUUUGAGUUAAUCAAGUUAUUCGAAUCAACUCGAAUAAAAAAUUAAGUUUUUUGGUUUAACUCAAAUAUGAAUUACACAAUUCGGGUUAUCCGAAAAUCCGAAUAAGAAAAGACAAAACUACAUAGUUUUGAUAAAUGUUUACUUUAUUAAAAGUUAAAAUUCAAAAUAAUUAAGUUAAAAGGUAAAACUACGUCGUUUUGAUAAAUGUUUACUCACUAAGUUAAAAGACUAAAUCAUUAUAUUAUUCAUGUAGUUAAAUAAUCUUAUACUUCAUCUACUAGUUAAAUAAUCGGUCCAUCUAAACACAACAUUAAGUAUAAAUAAUAGGAUUCGUUAACUCGACUCGAUUUGACUCGAAAUUUUUUGACUCGAUUCGAAAAAUUUCAAAUUGAGUUCGGUUGUUAAAAUAGGAUUUGUCAACUCGACUAACUCAAAAAUUUUGACUCGAUUUGACUCGACUCGAUCGAAUACUCACCCCUAGUGGCAGUGUCACCAGCUCAUGUGUGACACGCGGCCGUGCGCUAGCCUGUAUAGUGCAUGAUUGAGCCAAUAAAUGUCAAAUUUCAUGCCUUAAUUGGCACCAAGAUACACCUCUAAAAUCUAAUUACACAAGCAAUUCUAUCAAGCAUUACUAGCUUCUCAAUCAACUAUCAUCCUUAAAUUUAAUUCUUCCUAAAAUUACUCAUAAUUAUUUCACCAAGCACCUCAACCCGUAACAAUAAACCAGAUUCGAACGCCAUAAAAAUACACAUUUUACCAUUAAGAAAACAACUAAGCAUAUAAUUCGAUUAACAAUUUAAUGCAUUAAUUCAGUAAUUUCCUAGCUACGCACUUCCGAACAACAACUUGAUAUUUAUUCUUAGACAAUAGUAGAUUUAAUAUUUAUUUUCAGACAAUAAUUAAACAUGUAAAUUUCGAACAACAUUUUAAUACAUUUAUUCGGACAAUUCCAUUAUGCACAAAAUAAAUUGUCUUGUUUAUACACACUAAACAAUAUUAUGCAUAACAUCAAAUUCGACAGCUUAAUAUGCUCCCACCGAACAGCAUCAUAUCUUCAAAAAUAAAACAACAUUAACACUACAUAUAACAUUAACACCAAAUUUGGAUAGUUGUUUAAAGCAUGAAAUGGAUAGAAUUUGUACCAAUUUGGCCAGUACUUAACAUUCAUGUUCAGUCAGAACUUCGAAUCAUGUAAUAGAUAUUUUUAUUACCAAAUUGGUCAACAAUUCACAAUCACAAUUGGACCUGAUCUUGAAACAUGAAUGGACACAACUAAUGCCAUUUUUGGACAGCAUUGCUACAUGUUUGGGUUAGCUUUAAUCUUUAUUAUUACAAGUACUUAAGUCAAAUAAGAAAAACAUAACGAAGCUGUCCUGGUUUGGACAACAAAAUCCUCAUUCUCACAGCAACAAUUAACCAUUUAAACAUAAUUAAUGUGUCCUAAUUCGGACAACCAAUGUUACAUAUUUUACAGCAGUAUUUUAACACGUCAUAAACUGAUUUUAAACACCCAUGUAAUCUUCUUAGAGAUUAUUUGACCCGAAUCCCGUUACUUGUUAAAGAAAUAAAUACGGUCUAUAUCGUAUAAGUUAAAUCUAUAUAGAACUAUACUUCUUCUAUUUAACUUUGAUUAGAACAAAGUUAUUCGAUUAUUAAAUAUUAGAUGUGUUCUUAUUUUCUUUUUUUAUUGCUUUGUAAUUGUUUUAUCGCUAUUAUCGGUAUUUAUUAUAACAAAUACAAACCGAAAAGCAUGCAAGUAAAUGUUUAGACCUCAAUCUAUAAUGUACCAUGGCAACAGCCGAAUAUCCAAAUGUAAGCUUAAGUCAACCAAAUAUCCCUAAGUAUAAUUUCAGCCGAAAACAACAAUAAUAAAACAUCAUAAAAUAUAAAAAUUUAAAGUUUGGAGUUGAAGAACUCACAGAAAAUUUUCUCCCAAAGCCGAACCCCUUCUUUUUUGCUACUGUCCUCUUCACCUCCUUUAGCGAAAUGCUUCCAAAUCGAGGAUUUCUUCCCCCAUGCAGCCGCUGUUUACAACCUUUCCUCCCUAUUCCAAUGGCUAAACUAAACAAGAAGAAGAUGAAGCUCUCACCCCUCUUUCCUUUUUUUUUUUUUUUUCUUUCUCACCGUCCCAUCCCUUUUUCCCAAGAAAAACCAUUUUUAAUUAAAAUUAGAUGAUAACAGUGGGAACAAUCAUUGACCAGUUUCCCAUGUUUGCAACUGGCCACCCAACCAAAAGCCAUGCACACCCUAAAUCCAUUAGUUAACAUACAAAAUAUUACGCAUAAUGAUUAACAUUAGGUUCCGCAUUCGGUCAAAUCAAGUCGAAUCGAGUUGAAAAAAUUUUAGGUAAUUAAGUUGAUGAAUCAUAUUUUAACAAUAGAACUUAAUUUAAAAAUUUUUCGAAUCAAAUCGAGUCGAGUUAACGAACUUUAUUAUUUAUACUCAAUGUUGCGUUUAUAUGGAUCGAUUAUUUAACUAGUAGACGAAGUAUAAGAUUAUUUAACUAUAUAAAUAAUAUAAUUGUUUUGCCUUUUAACUUAAUCAGUAAACAUUUAUCAAAACGACGUAGUUUUGCCUUUUAACUUAAUAGUUUUGACUUUUAAAUUUAGAAAAGCCAAACAUUUAUCAAAAUGACGUUGUUUUGUUUUUUCUUAUUUAGAUUUUAGGAUAACUCGAAUUGUGUAAUUUAUAUUCGAGUUAAACUGAAAAUUUUAAUUUUUUAUUCAAGUUGAUUUAAAUUAGUCGAACUAUUUAACUCAAAAUUUAACUUUUUUAUCAAAUUUUUCGAAUCAAAUAAGAUUUUGCUCACUCAUAAUUAACACCACCAUCAUCUAACUAUCUAAUUUCAUUUGAAAGAAACAUUUGUAAAGCUUAACAUGUAGAUAACCCGCGCUACUAGUACAACUACCAAACCAAAGUUCCUCCUCAAAGGUCAUGAAUUAAAAUGAAAUGAAAUACAAUUAUUUUUCAGUAAAAUUACUUAUUAAAAAUUCAAUUCACCUAUAUAAUAACUUUCAAUAAAUAUUUAAUAAUAAUAAUUACAAGUUCGGUUUUUUAAAACAAAGUGUCGAUACCUCACUUUCCGAUAUUAUUGACUUUAAGGUCAAUAUACUUGUACAUUAAUUAAUUACCAAUUCAAUAAAAACCUCUAAUCUAAAUUUCUAUCUAAUUAAAAAUAAACUCGUAAAUAUUAAAUAAUAAUAUUUACGAACUCACUCAUCAAAAAUAAGGUUUUGAAACCACAAUUUUCUGGCACUACUGAAAAUCGGGCUGUUACAAAAAUUUUCAUAUUUCAUAAUCAUAUAUUUAGUUACUACAUCAAUAUGUCAGAUUCCACUACUCAAACUCGUAGAAUUCAAAAAUUUACAAAUUUUACAAUUUGAUCCUUACUUCAAUUUUUAUCAAAUUAAUCACUUAACAAUUUAUUUUUCAACUUACUCAUCCAAUUAAUAUUCAAAAUAAAUAUUUACCACUUUCAGCAUAAUAAACUCAUAAACCCAUCAUUCAAGAUAAUUAAUUCAAAAUUAAAAUAUUCUUAGUAAAAACACUCGCACUUUCUCGCUUUCAGUUAUUCACUUAAAAUCAUUCGCCAAAUUUUUCUUAAAAUAAUUCAUUAUUCACAUCAUACAUAAACACAAUAUUUCCAUAAGUUUAAGUAUAGAGAAUAAUUAUUUACGCCAAAUUCUUGCAAUUUCACAACAAAUUAUACAAUUAAAUAAAUAUAACAUAAUAAUUUAAACAAUUUACCCUCGUUUUCUCGCACUUCCAUCUUCAUCUUCAAGCCUCCAUGAUUGGUUUCAUAUGAGAAGACACUCUCGAAUUAGACUUUGGUGUGAAAUCCCACUUUAAUUUCAUAAAAAUUUUAAAGAUUUUAGGUUAAAGAUGAAAAAAAAAGGCCAAAUUGAAUAAAAUGAAAAACUUCUUUUUUAUUUUGAAGAAAACCAUGACAAAACCUCCCAAAAUUUAGCCAAAGGACCUAUUUAUAAUGAUGGGAGAAUCCUUUUUUUGUAGAUAUUUCCUUUCUUUUAUUUCCUUUAUUUGUUUAUUUUGC
rnacentral:lncRNA from 1 species